rnacentral:ncRNA from 1 species
AAAGAAAAAGAAUUUUCACUUAAAAAUUUAUUAUAAAUUUAUUUUACAUAUAAAUUUUUUAGUUAGUUUUAAAAAAUUUUUUAAAAAAUUAAAAAAAUUAUUUAUAGUAUUUAAUUUUAAAUAUUUAAGAAAUUAAGAUUUAGUAAUAUAAAAAUUAUUAACUAAUUUUGUGCCAGCAGUUGCGGUUAUACAAUAAAUAAAUUAAAUAAUAUUAGUAAUAAUUAAUAAAUUAAUUUAAUUAUUAUAAAUUUAUUAUUAUUAAGUAAAAUUUUAAUUUUAAAAAAUAUAAUUAAUAUUUAAUUAUGAAUUAAUAAAUUUUAAUAUAAACUAGGAUUAGAUACCCUAUUAUUAAAAAAUUAAAAUUUUAAACUAAAAUAGUAAAUUAGUUUUUAAACUUAAAAAAAUUGGCGGUAUUUUAGUUUAUUUAGAGGAAUCUGUUUAUUAAUUGAUAUUCCACGAAUAAAUUUACUUAAUUUAAAGUUUAUAUAUCGUCGUUAUAAAAAUAUUUUAUAAAAAUAUAAAAUAUUUAAAAAUUUAAAUAAAAAAUUAAAUCAGAUCAAGAUGUAAUUUAUGAUUAAGAAUAUAAUGGAUUACAAUAAAAAUAUUUAUAAUGAAUUAUAAUUUGUAAUAAUUAUAUGAAAUUGGAUUUAAAUGUAAUUAUAUUUAAUUUAAUUUAAUGAUUUAAUAUUAAAAUAUGUACAUAUUGCCCGUCGCUCUCAUUUUAAAGUUGAGAUAAGUCGUAACAAAGUAGAGGUACUGGAAAGUGUUUCUGGAAAU